rnacentral:rRNA from 1 species
UACGGAGGGUGCAAGCGUUAUCCGGAUUCACUGGGUUUAAAGGGUGCGUAGGUGGGUUGGUAAGUCAGUGGUGAAAUCCCCGAGCUUAACUUGGGAACUGCCAUUGAUACUAUCGGUCUUGAAUACCGUGGAGGUUAGCGGAAUAUGUCAUGUAGCGGUGAAAUGCUUAGAUAUGACAUAGAACACCAAUUGCGAAGGCAGCUGGCUACACGAAUAUUGACACUGAGGCACGAAAGCGCGGGGAUCAAACAGG